AUCAGUAUUGAGAGUAUGCAAAUUUUUUUUGCUUUUAAAAAAAUUUGCAUACUCUCAAUACUGAUUAUGGAAUGGAAAAAUAGAAUGAUCUUUUAAACUCCAAGAUUAAAAGUACGAGGCUUCCUGCUAAAACAAACUCAGCAAAUAACUUGAAACCCCAACUUAUUCCAUGGCUCAUUGCCAGAUGGACUAUUUUAGUGAGGAUGAAGACUGGUCACUCUACAACAAACUUUUACUCCUGCUCCCUUCAGUGUUCUCCGAAAUUCCUUCAUUUAGCUUUUGAAUCAAUCACCUUCUUUGCAAAAGAUGGCAAGCUAAAGGCAGCUGUAUGAAUCUCUGAAUUGUAAAAUUUCAAAGGUUUCAUUGAUUUGCCGUCAUUAACAUCUAUGGGAUUCACUGGAUGCUUGAAAUCAACUGAAGGUCCCUCAGUAGAGCAAAGCAUGAAACCUAUCACCCCGCUAGGAUAAGUCGGAACAGUUGUCCAGGCAUAGUUGACAGAGCCUUUGAAGACUUGACGGCAGUUCUCUACAAUACCCUCAAUGAUGUGCAUAUGAAGCCAUAUACUUUCAGCCUGAGUACACACAACUCCUCCUGGACGAAGAGCCUUUGCUACUGACUCAAAAAAGGGCUUCUUAAAAAGCUCUUGUGCAGGACCGAUUGGGUCAGAAGAAUCUACUAUAAUUGC
rnacentral:misc_RNA from 1 species